AUUGCUUAGGAUUUUAAAAAUAAAUCAGCCAUUUAGGCAUAUGUCCCAACUAACUUUUAAUAUCACUUGCCUUAGCACAGCACUGCAAAGUGGCCUGAAUGCAGCAAUUUGCGGGAUUUGGCACUGUGAGCCCCACAAGCACUUAGCAAAAGCAAUUGUGUAGCUCUAUUGAAAAUCCCGCAUAUCAUGCUGUGGGGAGCCAGCACUUUUUAUCUGUCGGCACUGUUGGUGACAAAUAUUAAAAUAAAAAGUAUGACACUAUAGGUGCUUCAAAAUUCAAACUGCAAGUUUCCUACUGCGGGACUUCUAACCAUGUAAUAAAGUGCAGGGAAGAAAGCAGAGUUCAGACCCCAUGCUGUAAUAAAGGCAAGGAAAUCUUAAGUGUUCAAAUACAUAAUUCAUUCUCUUCUGAGACUUUCUACCAGGUUUCUCCCAGUAAAGAUUUUAAUUUGUGCCUGAAUGAUACAAUCUUUAAUUUCUGUUUUACGUCCAGAGACAGCUGGGAGGGCGCUGGGGCAGCCAUACCCAUUGUGGUGGAUGAGAGCACACGGUCAGGAUGGGUCAGAAGCUCCUCUGCAGCUGGGAGGCUGUGACAGCCCCACAGGGCCAGCCCGGGCACAGGAGAAGGAGCCCCCAGCUGCCACUCGCUGUGAAAGUGCCUGCAAAAAAGUCACCGCAGCAGUCAAUGAGCUUUGUUUGUUUCCCAUAGAAACACUUUGCACCUUAAAUAAUACCUUCCUCCAAGCAUCUCAAGGCACAUAGCAAACACUGACUGAGCUUCAUCUUUCUGUGGGGAGAUUAAUGGGACAGAGAAAUCCAAGAAAGCAAGUGGAGGCUGGAGUGAUGCUGAUUACAGUGGAAGGCAAAAGGGCAACCUUGGAUGGAGAGAUUUAG